CAUAUUAUAGAAGCUACACCAAACAAGCACUAUUUUAUUUGGAAGCUAAAAAGCCAUAAAAUAAUAAUAAUAAUAAUAAUAAUAAUAAUAAUAAUAUCUUAUUCGGAAAUUAUUAAUAUUACGUCUAUUACUAUUAUUAUUAUUAUAAAUUAUGCUACUAUACCAUCGAUAGUACCAAGUGUCUGAUACUAUUGAAUUUUCGGUCGUUGAAUGAAAUGAUAUGCGGUUAUGAUGAUAGUAAUUCAUUAGGAUUGAGUGGGUUGUUGGUUGAAUAGUAUAAUCUAACGGGUGGAAAUGAUCAAAGAGUAGAUUUAACGGCAGAAAACUUAAUAAUACCAAAAAAUUUGUACUAUCGAUAGUAUAGCAGAAUCUUAUUAUUAUUAUUAUCAUUAUUAUUAUUUUUGGUUUGAGAUG
rnacentral:lncRNA from 1 species